GUAGCAGUGCACUUAAUGAGCAAGAAAGGAAUUCACAAAAAACAACUGAAUCAGACUUGAUUGAGCGUGGCUUUUCUGAAAUUAGGGAGAUUAAAGAAAUGAAUGCUGCUACCAGAAAAGCAAAGAGUAGAAGGGUUGGAAAGGAGAUAAGAGAAAAUGUUGACUGGGAUGCCUUGAGAAAACAGGCAGAAGCAAAUGGGAGGAAAAGACAAAGA
rnacentral:misc_RNA from 1 species